GUUUUGAUAGCUUAAAUAAAGCAUGGCACUGAAAAUGCUAAGAUGAACCCUAACAAGUUCUCCAAACA
rnacentral:tRNA from 1 species